rnacentral:rRNA from 1 species
GUCUUUUUGUUAAUAAUUUAAAGUCGAAUCUGCCCACUGAUUAAAAAUUAAAGGGCUGCAGUAUAUUGACUGUACAAAGGUAGCAUAAUAAUUAGUCUUUUAAUUGGAGACUUGUAUGAAAGAUUUAAUGAGGUAUAAACUGUCUCUUUUUUAUAAUUUGAAUUUAAUUUUUUAGUAAAAAAGCUAAAAUUUAUUUAAAAGACGAGAAGACCCUAUAGAGUUUUAUAAUUAAUUUAAUUAUAAAUUUAUAUUUAAUUUUAAAGUUAAUUAAUUUAAUUAUUUUGUUGGGGUGAUAGAAAAAUUAAAAUAACUUUUUUUUAAAAAUAAACCUUAAUUAAUGAUUAAAUGAUCCCUUAUUUAUGAUUAUAAGAAAAAAUUACCUUAGGGAUAACAGCGUAAUUUUUUUUUUUAGUUCUUAUAAGAAAAAAAGUUUGCGACCUCGAUGUUGGAUUAAGAUAAAAUUUAAAUGCAAAAGUUUAAAAUUUUGAUCUGUUCGAUCAUUAAAAUCUUACA